rnacentral:misc_RNA from 1 species
GAUGAAGAACGUAGCGAAAUGCGAUAAGUAAUGUGAAUUGCAGAAUUCAGUGAAUCAUCGAAUCUUUGAACGCACAUUGCGCCCGCCAGUAUUCUGGCGGGCAUGCCUGUUCGAGCGUCAUUUCAACCAUCAAGCCCCAGGCUUGUGUUGGGGACCUGCGGCUGCCGCAGGCCCUGAAAACCAGUGGCGGGCUCGCUGUCACACCGGGCGUAGUAGAUUUUAUCUCGCUCAGGGCGUGCUGCGGGUUCCGGCCGUUAAAAAGCCUUUUUUACCCAAGGUUGACCUCGGAUCAGGUAGGAAGACCCGUUGAACUUAAGCAUAUCAAUAAGCGGAGGA